CGCCGCGCUACGACACGUAUUGUCGGACGAUCGUCUUGGGUAUACAAACACAACGUCCUCGCUUCAUUUACUCGGUUGGAUGCAUCCUGGUGAAGCAAGUCGUCGUCCGUUGCAAGCCGUACAACCUAAAACACGUUGCCUGUAACAUGCUAGCGUUCUGGGCUUGACGCUCCUACCUGGGGAUGGCGCCCGCCAGCCCGCACUUGGCGAUGCAAGCUAUUGUUGACGCUAUGCAUUCGGCGCCAGGUCGACUUCUGUGCCGCAUGCGGGCUCCCACGGCAUGCAGGUUUUCGUGCAGCGUACAAAGAAGGUCGUUGACGAAGCUCAGCUACUACCACCGUCCCGGAAGAGAGCGCCUCUUUUCCUGCACUGUGGGUGACGUCAUUGAGAGGACAGCAGAGGUGCGGGGUGACAAUCUGGCCAUUGUGUCCAGUCACCAGUCCAUCAGGAAGACAUACGCUGAGUAUAAGAAGGACAUUGACCACUUCGCAGCCGCCCUGAUAUCGUUGAAGUUGGGCAUUGGCUCUAGAAUAGGAAUAAUCGCGCCUAACAUGUACGAAUGGGCCGUCGUGAUGUUUGCGGCUGCCAAGGCAGGAUUGGUCCUGGUGAACGUCAACACGACCUACCAGAUUCAUGAGCUGGAGCACUGCCUCAAUCACACGGAUUGCAAGGCCGUGAUAUUGUCGGAGCAAUUUUCGAAACAGGACUAUUACGCUCUACUUCUUAAAUUGGCGCCAGAGCUAGCGUCGAGCCCCUUCGGCGAUCUCAAGAGUGCGAGGCUACCCAGCCUGAAGUACGUCAUAACCGUCGGAGAAACAGUCAAACCGGGCACGGUUAGGUUCGCCGAUCUGAUGGAGUCUGUUACGAACGAACACCUCCGUGCCCUGCGUUGCACUUCCUCCAAGUUGCAGAUGGACGACGCUGUCAACCUUCAGUUCACAUCAGGCACGACGGGAAAGCCCAAGGCUGCACAGCUGUCCCACUUCAACGUCGUGAACAAUGCCUACCUUGUAGGCCGGAGGCUCGAGCUUCACAAGCAGGAAGAAGUAAUUUGCCUGAACGUUCCAUUGAUUCAUUGCUUCGGCUGCAUCGCUGGUACGAUUUCGGCGGCCAUUUUCGGAUCCACGGCUGUGAUGCCGGCGCCGAGCUUCAGUGCAGCUGCUGCGUUGAAGUGCAUUACAGAGGAAAAGUGCACUUUCGUCUACGGUACGCCGACCAUGUACAUUGACAUGCUACACCACGUGGAGGACGGCUGUUACGACGUUUCAUCCAUUCGAACAGCUGUCAUGUCUGGAGCACCAUGUCCAAACCACUUGACAAAAGACAUCAUGGAAAAGCUCAACGCAAAACGCAUCCACGUUUUGUAUGGCACAACAGAAACAAGUCCAAUGAUCGCAGCGAACGACCCUAACGAACCUGUGGAUCAGUGGAUAACUUCGGUGGGAAGGCCUUUAGACCACGUUGAAGUAAAGAUCGUCGACGAUAAAAACAGGAUUGUUCCAGCCAAUCAGAGGGGCGAGCUUUGUGUCCGAGGAUACGCUGUCUUCAUGGGUUACUUCAAGGAGGACAAGAAGACAAAAGAAGCCAUACGCAAUGGCUGGUAUCACACUGGGUCAGUGACGGCGCCAUGAUGGCUGAAGACGGCCGGGUGUCCAUCCUGGGUCGCAUGAGAGACGUGAUCGUGCGCGGCCAUGAGCAUGUCUAUCCGCAGGAGAUCGAGCACUUCCUCUACACUCAUCCCGCCGUGCAGGAGGUGCAGGUGGUUGGCGUCCCGGACGAAAGGCAGAGCGAGGAAGUGUGUGCUUGGAUUAAGCUGAAGCCCGGAUUUAGCCUGAGUCAGGAAGACAUAAAAAA
rnacentral:misc_RNA from 1 species